AUUGAACGCUGGCGGCAGGCCUAACACAUGCAAGUCGAGCGGAGCGGCGGACGGGUGCGUAAUGCCUAGGAAUCUGCCUGGUAGUGGGGUAUAACGUCCGGAAACGUGCGCUAAUACCGCAUACUAUCAGAUGAGCCUAGGUCGGAUUAGCUAGUUGGUGGGGUAAAGGCCUACCAAGGCGACGAUCCGUAACUGGUCUGAGAGGAUGAUCAGUCACACUUGAACUGAGACACGGGCCAGACUCCUAAGGGAGGCAGCAGUGGGGAAUAGUGGACAAGGGUCGAAAGCCUGAUCCAGCCAUGCCGCGUGUGUGAAGAAGGUCUUCGGAUUGUAAAGCACUUUAAGUUGGGAGGCGUUACCAACAGAAUAAGCACCGGCUAACUUCGUGCCAGCAGCCGCGGUAAUUC
rnacentral:rRNA from 1 species